AAAUAAAUAAAUGUAUUAUGCAAGUACCUAAACUGUAAUUACAUUAAAUUGAGUUUUAGUUUAUUUACAGUAAAUAAAUUUUCUUCUUUUAUUAGUGUCCGUGGCUCAAAAAAAGAAGGCAGUAGAAGAUGUGGAGCUUCAGAAGAGAUCCAGAGAGGAGUAACAACAUACCAUUCAAGAAAUGCUGCAUUAUCUCACAUAUUACAAGAAGAAGAGAGAGAUUUUAACCGAACAUACUAAAGAGUUAUGUGGAAUUUUCCCUUCAUAUCUAAGCAAGGUGUGAGACAGAGAGGGACAAGAUCAUCCAAGAGGAACAACCGCAACAGUGUGGGAAGUGGGCGAAGUGUUACCCGUUACCGCACAUCGGCGAUCUACAAUAGUUUCUCCACAAAGAUACAAACCAAUGCCGUUCUCUCAAAUAGACUAUGUGGCUGUUAGAGAAAAAGGAAAUUUUAUGGUAAACAUGUUCAUACUAUCCCCAAGUCGAUCGGAUAAGAAUUGAAUUUUUUAGAAAUAUUUGUUCGUCGGACAUAAAAAUAUGUCUACUCGGGCAGCUUCAAGUGACCCCCGAUGGACACGAUCUUGUGUCCGCGGGGGAGUAAAGUGUUUAUUAAUAAAAACAAAAUCGCC